rnacentral:lncRNA from 1 species
AAGAGGGAGGAGAGCGGAGGAGAGGCGACAUGGAUCUUGAGGCCAAUUCCUUCCUAGGAGAUGGAUGUUGAAGCGAACUUCUUCUCCUUCCUCCCUCCCUCCGAUCCUUGAGUCUUAACCCUAGACGGAGAGAUGGUCGGCGACGAUGGAAUGGCGGAGAUCCUCCAACUCUUCUGUGCGCGAAGCAAUUUCCAUCCGGAUCUUUUCCUAUCGAGGUAUUUGUAAAGAUCCCCAAAUUACAAGCCCUUGGAUUCUUGACUCUUUCGCUUGUGAUUUCUUUUGCUUCUGUUGUCACGACAUUCGUUUGCAAGAAUGUUGGCAAGAUGUUGUUCUGCAAGAAAAGGAAAUGGGGAUCUCGAAGAGUAUCUCCUCGAACCGUCUUAAGGGCACUUAAUUAAACUUUAUAAUCUAUACCGAUCCUUGAGUCUGACCCCUGAAUGAAUAAGCGACAUAAUAUGGUGGAGAGGUAGAAGAUCCUCUAGAUCUCCUGCGAUGUAUUGGUAAACAUCUCCCAAAAGUAAUCGUUCUUGUAUUCUUGAUUUUUUUUUUAAUCUUGAGUUGAUACGUUUGAUUGUUGAACUGGUUCCUUUUGGUAUUGCAUAACGUGUCCAGAUUGUUUGUGAUUUCUUUUUCUUUUGUUAUUAAGAAUCCUAACAACUUCACAUGUCCUUUCCAAAGAUGUUGUUAGAAUGUCCUUCGGCAAGAAAAUGAGGAUUGGGAUGUGAUUCAUCAUCCUAAAGGUUGAUGAAUUAGAUUAUAACCUUUACCAACUCACUUGAUUCCUCUUUGUUUGUUGUUUGGACUUCUCUUGCAAGAAGUUUAGGUAUGAAAAGUUAGUAAUCGUCUGUCCCAGAAAUUGAUCAUCUGAUUCUUGUGGUUUUUAUUGUCAUAAAUUACCUUUUGUCUGGCACUUCUUAGUGCUAGCCUAAAUGAAAUAGGUUAUUUUGUUAACUAAAUGACACCAUCAUAUUUUCUGACCUUGGGAUCCAUUGGAUCUUUAAUUUGCUUGUUCCUAUUCCUACCUUGGUCUCAUCUUGGGGUCUUAAGACAUGAUGGUUCUUUCAUGAUCUCCUGGUCAUGUUGCAUGUUAUGUUCACAUCUGAGAAUAUAGAAGAAGAUACAGGGUUAUUCUAUGUCUUACAUAUGAAGCUAGCACUGCUUGUGCUUCUUAAUCUGAUCCUAGUGUGAUUAUCAUACUUUUAUGCUACUUUUCUUUAAUUAUUAUUCUUCACAUGAUGAUCAAGAUCAUAAAUAAUGUCACCCCUUUGAAUUUACUUUACAUUUUGACAUAAACAAAUCUCUUCGAUAAGUUUGUUUUUGUUUUCAUAUGUGAGAUUAGCAAUGUUGAUCGGGUUACUAUAUCUUGAUCAAGAUGAUAUCGUAUGUCUUAUAUUAGAAUAUGAUCUGUGAAUCAAGGUCAUGUUGAUAUCUAUCUUUGAUUCCAUUAUGUAAUAAUUAGAUUUGAUUCUAUUAAUUGGUUUAAAAUUAAGUAGCUAAGGAAUGAAUUAUUUAGAUUAGCCUUCAUUUAUAAAAAGCAUGAACUUACCUUAAACUCUAGUUCAUCAUAAGUUUGAAAUUAACUGAUUAUAUAUGUUAUAGAUACGAUUGUGGAUAUAUAAAUACAUUAGGACAUUCUCGUUUAAAUUGUACAGAUUGGAUAUCCAGUCCAAUUAUAACUUGAUUAAGCUUGCCUAAUUUGGUUUCAAUUUUAAUUGACAUGAUCAUAAUAAUUUGUAGUUAUGCAAGCUAAGAUGACACCUGAGUAAGUUUCCAUUAUAAUCCUAAAUAAAUUAGGAUAUCCUCGUUUGAAUUGUACAAAUGCUAUGUUUGGUCCAAUUACAACUUAAGUCGGUAAGUCUAAUUUGUGAUAAGUCAAUUUGAAUUUUGAAUGACUUGUGAUCAUAAUGGUAUUUAAUUUGUGAACAGCAUUUUUAUUCCCCAUGAUAACAUUCCAAUUCAAAGAUUCUUUUAAUCAAAUAUUAACAUCUAACUCUAGUCCUAUGGCCUUCAUAAUGAUAAAUUUGGUCAUGAUUGAUAUCGAGUUCAUUUAAUUAGUAAUUCUUUAUCAUGUCACAUUCAAUUAUAUUACCAGUUUUAAUUUGUUGUAUUUAUGUGGUCAUUUCAUCCUAUGUUCUGGAUCAAAUUAUGUCGACAUAGUUAAGAUCAAGUAGAUCAAAAUUGAUCAUCCAAAGGUUUAUUUAGCAUCCAUGAAAUUCACAAAUUUGACAAGUUAAUAUUAAUAUGUAAUUAAAUAUUUCAUUUUCACUUAAUUAAAUCAAGUGAUGCUUUCAUUUUAAUCCAAAUUUUAGUAUUUUGACCAAGUUGAUGUUUCCACAUGAAGUUGACCCUCCAAGGCCACAUUUUUAAUUAUUUGAUUUCUUGCUUGUUUAUUCUUCAGAUUUUGUUUAUCCGUUUUUAUAGAUGACUUGUUUGCUAAACUUUCCUCUCGUAUUCUGAGUUGAUAUUUUAAGGACUAAGAAAUAUUCUAAAAUGGAAUGCUAGAGUUGGGCAUGCUUCUUGAUUUGAUCCAACCAUAUUAUUAUACUUUUAUGGUGCCUUUUCAUUAGUUAUUCUACAUAAGAUGAUCAAGAUUGUAAAUAAUAAUAUACCUUUGAAUUUAUAAUUGAUUUUAAGAGGCAAUGAAAUUCAAUGACAGGGUUCCCCCCGAAAAUGUUUGUACGAUUUCCAUUGUAAAAUAUGUACCUCCAAUUUGUUCUUUUCAUAUAGUGGAACCAUUUGUGAGGUCGAUUAUAUGAGUUUCAAGAUGAAAAGCUUAGACAUUGCUGUUGGAUAAGAGGUAUGCCAACCGAAAGGAAGUUGCUUAUAACUGCAAGCAUUUGAAAAGCAAGAUCUCUACUAUCAUAUGCUUUGCAAUCUAGACUUGAGGAUCACUUGCACCACAAUUGUCUUAACCUUUUUGGGUUGCUCUAAUUGAAGCAUUUCUAACGUCUAAAGAUGUGGCAAAAAGCUUAAGGCGGAGCAUCGGGGAAGACGUCAAAGAUUAAGCUGCAUUGACUUUGUUUGUUUAUACAUUGAUUUUAUUGCACUGGAAACAAAAGGGUCGAGGGGGUGAAAUCCUUUGUAAAGGUUUGAUGUGGUCAAGGAUAUCCUUUGUAAAGGUUUGAUGUGGUCUAAGGAUAUCCGGUGGUAGGGCAUCUUUUUGUUGAAAUCAGGAUCAAUUAGAUUUGACCAUAUUAUUUGGCUUGGAAUUAAGUAGUUAAGGUUUGACAUAUUUUGCUUAGUUUUAUUCUUAAAGAUUUUUUUAUCACAUGUAUAUUUAGUUGACUAAGCUUGGAGUUAGCUAAUUAAGUACCUGUUAUACAUUUUUAGAUAAAGCCGCUUGCGGCAGGCAUGUCAUACAUUGUUAAUUGCACAAAGGUUAUCGCAUAUGUUCAUAGUUUGAAGGUGAGCGAGCACAUGUCGCUGGCGUAGUUGAUGUGUUCAAAGAUUUGGUGGUUAGACAUUUUGAUUAUUUUUUGUGUUCCGCGUAAAAGUUAUUAUUUUUCACUUUGGCAAUAUUUUCUUAAUUUUUUUAACUAUAAUUUUGUGUUCCGU